rnacentral:lncRNA from 1 species
CCAGAACCCAAAAGUGCCAGGAACCUAACAGGGGCUCAUUAAUAUUUGUGGAAUGGAAAAAAAGUGACAUAGCAAGAUUCACACCCAGGUCUUCUGCCUUCCUCCAAGGCCACGCUGCUUUUAAGUUACCCUGUGUGAGAGGGGAAGGCCGGAGAGAGACUAAGGGGGCCAGGGGAGAGCAGCAGAAUGGCCUUGAUGCCUGGCUCUCCCAAGACAACGUUCUCUGUGGGCCACCGCCCAGGGGCGAAGUUGGCAGCUGCCAGGAGGGAGAGCAGGGGCUGGGCUGGAGAGGUGCAAAUAUCUGCGCGUUACCCUGCCAGCCACAUCUGAUCACAACCCUGUGUGUUUUGACCGAGAAGCUCUACCUGCCUCUCGGGAUUGAUGUGAAGAUUAAUGCCUGUUUAGCAAAUUACAGCUUCCCCAGCACCUCCUGCUCCUGGGAGAGAAGGCGCCUUGGAAACGGAAAAUAAAAACAAACCUCAGCGCUCCGUGUCAAGGCUUGGCCACAGCAAUGACAGCUGGGCCCAACUCGACAGAGCGUGGAGGCUUAGCAAAGCGAGGCAGGAAGGCUGAUCCCUUUCUUCUGAGGAACUCAGAGGGAGAAACUGGGGAUUAUGGCGACUUUCGUUCCACUUGAGAAACUUGUAUUAUUUGACUUCCACGUUCCCACCAGCCCUGAAAUCUUACAAUUCUCACAUGAAUCACCAAGGGGCCAUGUUGGGGAGAUUUCUGGUUUCAAGAACCAGAGAGGAGAGUCCAAACAAGCUGAGAUACUGGGAGGCACCUGGAAGGGCUGUGUCUGCCAAGCCUGCCUUGUGUCCGGAGCCACUGUGUACCAGCUAUCAAUGGCUGUGUAACAAAACUCUUCCCAAACUGCAUGACUUCAAGCAACAAUAAGCAUUAUUUCCCAUAAUUCUGUGAGUAUGCUCAACUGGGUGAUUCUUCUGAUCCUUGUGGUGUCUGGAGGCCCAGCUGGUCUUGUUACCGAAUCCAAGCUUGCUCUGCUUGGUGCAUGAGAGGCCAGUGAGUCCAAGAGACGAGAUGUUGAGGCAAGGAAUAUGACUUUAUUCAGAAAGCCAGCUGACUGAGACGAUAGCAGACUAACAUCUCAAAAUAACCAUCUUGUCAGGGUCUGGAUGCCAGGUUCUUUUAUGGAUCGGAGAUGGGGGAGGUGAGGAAACAAAAUAAAAAAGACCAUUUAAUUCUUGCA